AAUAGAUACCCUGGUAGUCCACCCCGUAAACGUUGGGAACUAGUUGUGGGGUCCAUUCCACGGAUUCCGUGACGCAGCUAACGCAUUAAGUUCCCCGCCUGGGGAGUACGGCCGCAAGGCUAAAACUCAAAGGAAUUGACGGGGACCCGCACAAGCGGCGGAGCAUGCGGAUUAAUUCGAUGCAACGCGAAGAACCUUACCAAGGCUUGACAUAUACGAGAACGCUGCAGAAAUGUAGAACUCUUUGGACACUCGUAAACAGGUGGUGCAUGGUUGUCGUCAGCUCGUGUCGUGAGAUGUUGGGUUAAGUCCCGCAACGAGCGCAACCCUCGUUCUAUGUUGCCAGCACGUAAUGGUGGGAACUCAUGGGAUACUGCCGGGGUCAACUCGGAGGAAGGUGGGGAUGACGUCAAAUCAUCAUGCCCCUUAUGUCUUGGGCUUCACGCAUGCUACAAUGGCCGGUACAAAGGGCUGCAAUACCGGUAAGGUGGAGCGAAUCCCAAAAAGCCGGUCCCAGUUCGGAUUGAGGUCUGCAACUCGA
rnacentral:rRNA from 1 species